CGCGCGGCAGGCCCCGGCCUUUCCGCGCCCCUGAGGAGCGGGCGCGGUGGCGGCGCCGCCCCGGGCCUCGGCGGGGAGGGGACCGUGCGGCUGUGGGACCCGCUUUCGGCGGGGCUGCCGCUGUGCGCUGGCUCCUGGGCCUGUGAGCCGCCCCGUGCGUGCCUCGGCCUCCGCCCUGGGAGCGGUAGCUCGGGGCGCCGCGCCCCGUCGGCCGCGGCGCAGCGCUGGGUGGCGCCCGGGCCUGGCCGAGCCGCCCGGCCUCCGGCUCGGCGCCGCUGCCCCCUCGCAGCAGCCCCUCGGCCCAAGCACGCGCUCGCCUACACAGUAGAGCAGCAAGUGAAAUUAAGAGAUGAGUUUGUUACGGGCUCUGGGAGUCAUCAGUCUGGAGUCUGCCAUGCUGUUUCCCUGCCAGUGGAAAGACGUCACGUGAAUUCUGGAGCUUACAGAAAUGAAGCAAGGAGAAAUACAAUUGCAUGUAAGGUCAAGAGGUUGAAAUUCUAACAAGAGGUAUUACGACAGCUAUAAAACCUCACAAGACUUGCUCCCCAGAACAAAGCAGCAGCAAUCCAUGGAUCCUGAAGGAAUUGGAGGGGAGAGGUGCUAUGUCAUCAGUCAACCUUCUCCACUGUCCUCGAGCCUUAUGUAUGCACAUGCAGCCAACAGCAGACUCCAUCCACUUGUAGAAGUGUGGGUGUUUGAGAAGCUUGAAAACAGCAGCCUGAAAUGUGGAGUUCGCAUGCACUUGGAAAUGUUUUCGUGGCCCUUCCUGUUCCUCAAAUACUACUUGAUUUGAUGGCUGACCACGAGAUGGCAGAAUUUCCUCCUGCACGUUCCAAGGCAGAGCCGCUGGGCCGGGCUUUGAGCAGCAGCAGCAGCAAGGCAGUGCCGCUCCUGCCUGGCGUAGAAACGACAGAGGAUCUGGAUAUUCAUUAUUCGAGAUUUUCUUCUACAAAGCGUCCUUUGUCCUCUGUGUAGAUGACCAAUAUGAAAUGCCACUUAAAUCUUCAAUAAUGGAUUUGGCUACCUAGUAAAGGAUAAGACACAGAAUUUUUGGGCUGAUGAGGAAGCAAAGCUCAUAGCAUAUGGAAGAUCCCCCUGUAGGAGUUCAGAGAACUGGGUUCGGGAGGACAAACACGUUGAUCAACAUCUGAGAGAGAAGUAACCGCAUACCAGUGCAGCUCUAGUGUAAGCCCUGUCUGAGAAUUGUAUGCUCUGGGCUGGUGGUGGUUAGUGGUCUGAAGUAUCAAGUUUUAAGCAGAAGUUGAAAGAUAAUUUAAA